UCAGUAGUUCCACAAUGGUAGAUGGCCAGUUUGAAAUCACAAAAUAAUUCCAAGGAAGUAUCUUGCAUGACUCCUGCUGAAAGUGAACCAGAGGGCAAGAUUUAUAUAGUAGUGCCUCAACCACUGAUAAUUUCUACAUUUUGUCAUCACCAGUGCUGCAAUGAUGGAGCUCUCCCUUCAGUUGGUCACUUACCUCAUCCAAUAUCCGGGAUACGGAGAUGGAGGGAAUGAGUGGUUGACUGCUGCGCGGCUGUCUUCUAGGGUGGGAGUCCUAGCUCAAGGUGUUAAAGACAGAUGUGAGUGCUCUCCAAGUUGCCUUUGCUGAGGAGUGCGCCUCACAAGGAAUAUGCCACUGGACUCUGCUGGUCAGCAUUCUUUGCAGUGACAAGAAUACCUGUGGACAACAAUUUAAAAGAGGGAAGGUUAAGUCUUGGUUCAAGACACAUGAGUUCAGAAGUAUCAGCCUGUGGUCACCUGACUCCAUUGUGCAUGGUGAGGCGGGA